AAGUCGUAACAAGGUUUCCGUAGGUGAACCUGCGGAAGGAUCAUUAUUGAAUUAAACUUGAAACGGGUUGUUGCUGGCUCUCCUCCUUGGGGUUGCAUGUGCACGCUUGUUUUUUUCUUUAUUUCUCCAACUGUGCACGAAUUGUAGACCUGGUCUAUGUUUUUCACAAUCUCUGAAUGUAUUAGAAUGGCUGGGAACAAAAAAUAUACAUACAACUUUCAGCAACGGAUCUCUUGGCUCUCGCAUCGAUGAAGAACGCAGCGAAAUGCGAUAAGUAAUGUGAAUUGCAGAAUUCAGUGAAUCAUCGAAUCUUUGAACGCAUCUUGCGCUCCUUGGUAUUCUGAGGAGCAUGCCUGUUUGAGUGUCAUUUAAAACUUCUCAACUGCUUCUGAGCAGCUUGGAAAUGGGGGGUGUGCAGGCUAAGUGUAGUCUGCUCCCCUGAAAUGUAUUAGUGGUGUCUGGGCGGACUAACCACAGGUGUGAUAAAUUAUCAAUCAAUGCCUUGGUUAAUUUUGCUGCUGCUUCCAACCCUUAUAAAUGACCAACUUGACCUCAAAUCAGGUAGGAUUACCCGCUGAACUUAAGCAUAUCAAUAAGCGGAGGAAAAAGAAACUAACAAGGAUUCCCCUAGUAACUGCGAGUGAAGCGGGAAGAGCUCAAAUUUGAAAUCUGAUGGUUGUUGACCGUCCGAGUUGUAAUCUAGAGAA
rnacentral:misc_RNA from 1 species